CCCUCCAUACCGGAAGUCAUUAGAGUUCGAUACAGAAAUGGGAAGGAGGAUUUUGUUAUUGUUUUUCUUGCAAGAAAAUAAGCAAAAUACUCGCACGACAGACAUAAUCGGAUACUCUUGUAGUUGACAUCUCCACAAAGCAAUUUGGACUGAAUUGUCUUGCCACCAAAAUGGCAGCUACAUAGCAGGAUUUCCAGAUGUGGGUAGUGGUUGCAGAUCAGCACAUAAAAGUGUGAGAAGAAAGAGAACAAAAAAUUCAGCAGGAAAAACAGAUACAGUGCCUUCUCAAAAUGACAAUACCUGAGUUUAUAGAUGUCAAAAUUAGUAGAGGUGUUGGAAUUACUGAAGAUGUGAAGAGUCCAGGAUACCCAGAUUCUUGACAAGGAUUGAAAAACUCAAAAACAGCUAAAAAAGAAACAAAGCUAGCACACUCAUUAGGCAUGUCAAAGGAGAUAGAAAUCUAAAUCUUCUUCAUCAAGCUAAAAAAAAGUUUCAGAAUUGCCAAGACAUGGAGGGAAAUUGAUUGAUACAAUGUGCUCAUAGCUCUGGAGUGUUAUAUUGAAAAUUGUGAAAAAGUGCAUUGUUCAGUUUCAAUAAUUUAUUGGAUAUAGUUCAUUAUUGGAUUAUCUUUAAAUUAUGAGGCUUGGUCUCCUAUCAGUAGUGACCUAAUCACACCACUUCUGUAGGUAAGGGGGACAAUCAGCUGUCGCCUCCCCCAGUGACUCCCCUUAUCUAAUUCCCUCAACAGACUUGAUAACUACCUUUGGUAAAGGAAAGAGCAGAUGGAAGUACCAAGGAUCUUUCAUCAAAGACCCAUUGCUACAGAUCUCUGAAAAUUUCAUUAUCCUUGUCUCUUACUGGAUUUAUGAAUGGAUAUUGCAAAUUUG